rnacentral:ncRNA from 12 species
CGUCGCCCGCUUCACGGAGGCUAAGGUUUCCAUGACUGAGCGAUUCUCUAAUCUGGUCGUGCCGCUGCCCCACAAAGGCACCGACAUGCGCACUCAGGAUACCGACGGCUUGACGCCGGCCAGGUCCCGCGCAGUUUCCCCGCUGAAUAGUCGGCGAGGCGACGUAGAAAGCACGAUAUCUCC